GUUCACACCCCUGUUCAUUGACGUCUACGUUGCUAUGUACUAGUAAAUGUGUCCGUGUGUUGCAACGGGAUAAAAAUAUCACAAUUUUACAGUUAAGUUAGUGGCUCACACAUCCAAUCUAUAAAUCAAUGUUUAGCAUGAAUUUCUCUAAUCCAUAUAUUUAGUUUCUAGCUAAUACUGCAGGCAACGGUGCUUAAUUCAAAGCCGUGAUCCAUUUUCUAUAAUGAAAUAAAAAAUAAAGUGAUGCCCGUGCAUUUACAAGCACAACACCCCAUACUUUGCUACAAAGAAAACCAUCAUUCCAAGGUAAUUUAAGUCAUAUAAUUGAUCAAACACAGUUGUGUCCUUAAUCAAAUUAUUGGAUGUGCAAGAAACCUGUCUACGGAACACAACCGCACUGAGUGCAAACUGAUUACACCGGAGACAACGAUCCUAUUGUCUUUCUACCCAAAAACGGGAGCCAGAUCCUCUAACAUGCACAAGUGUAGUCACAAAUCUAUAGUAAACUCUAUGUAUAAAAUGAAGAAGGGAUGUCAGGGGGCUAGCACUGGCCGUGAAUUACUGUAGACCGAAUACUGCUCACGAAUUCCUACAGACGAUCACUGUUCACAAAUCCAUGCGUUAGAUCAUGGUUUAAGGAAAUCUAGACAAGGGAUAUCAGGGUACUGUAGCAUUCCAGAUCAUGUGCACCCAUUGGACUUGUGUCUUGUUGUAAAAUUUGUGCAUUUGCUUGAGCAACAAGCCUUGGUUCUGCACUUUGAGGUUGAUUCACAUAGGCCGCCUUUGUUCUUAGGAUGGCGGACUAAGCUAGUUCCCCUUGAUCCCAUCAUCUGAUUUCUUUUGCCAAAGACAACAUCUUCGCAGCACGUGUAGGUGUUCAAUAAUGGGAUUUUUCUGGUGUUUUGGUACUACAAAUAACAUGUUCUAGGAAACCGGUAAGGUCAAUGGUGUGAGCAGAACAUUUUCAGAUCAACAGUGAGAAGCUCCCUGGCUCCUUACAUUGAUUAGAAGCCCUCGUAUACAAGGCAUCCACUCCAAGUUCAGAAAGCAGUAAAAGCAAACUACUGAAACAAAGCCACACCACAUUUCCAUUAAAGCAUCAGCUCAUCAAGCCCCUGCUGUUGGAGCCAUCGGCGACCAGCAGGUAGCAUCAAUGUUGGAGACUGGCUCUAGUGAUCUGCUUUAGUGCCAGUAGAGCAUGGGGAGUAUUUCCACAGGACCUAGGGUGGCUCUUCCUUGUGUAGCUAUGAUAUUUCUUUUUCAUACAAGUUAUUAUUCCUCUAUAUGGAUGGCUUACAAAUCCCAUAUUAGACUUAAUGUUAUGUUUGCUUGUUUUACACAUUCAGAUCCAAAACAGGAGUCAGCAACAAAACAAUAAAGAGGCUUUGGUGCGUUGUGAGUACAGAAUGGCAGAAUUUAGCACUGGGGAUCGAAGGAGAAAGC